GACAGAGGGUGCAAACGUUGUUCGGAAUUACUGGGCGUAAAGCGCGUGUAGGCUGCUUCGCAAGUCGGGUGUGAAAGCCCUGGGCUCAACCUAGGAAGUGCACUCGAAACUGCGAAGCUUGAGUCCUGGAGAGGAAGGCGGAAUUCUCGGUGUAGAGGUGAAAUUCGUAGAUAUCGAGAGGAACACCGGUGGCGAAGGCGGCCUUCUGGACAGUGACUGGCGCUGAGACGCGAAAGCGUGGGGAGCAAACAGG
rnacentral:rRNA from 1 species